rnacentral:tRNA from 1 species
CAAAGAGUAGUUUAAUCAAAAUGCCAGCUUUGGGAGUUGGUGAUGAAGGUUGAAUUCCUUUCUCUUUGA